ACAGCUCAGUAACACGUGGACAACCUACCCAAAGGUCUGGGAUAACUCCGGGAAACUGGGGAUAAUACCGGAUAGGUCAAGAGUACUGGAAGGGUUUUUUGAUUGAAAGCUCUGGCGCCUUUGGAUGGGUCUGCGGCUGAUUAGGUUGACGCCGGUGUAAAGUACCGGCGUGCCGAUUAUCAGUACGGGUUGUGGGAGCAAGAGCCCGGAGAUGGAUUCUGAGACACGAAUCCAGGCCCUACGGGGCGCAGCAGGCGCGAAAACUCUACAAUGCAGGCAACUGCGAUAGGGGAACAUCGAGUGGCAUCUACAUUAGGUGUCUGUCCAGCUGUCUAAAAAACGGCUGUUAGCAAGGGCCGGGCAAGACCGGUGCCAGCCGCCGCGGUAAUACCGGCGGCUCGAGUGGUGGCCGAUAUUAUUGAGUCUAAAGGGUCCGUAGCCGGCUUUGCAAGUCUUGUGGGAAAUCCAGCGGCUUAACCGUUGGGCGUCUGCGGGAUACUACAUUGCUUGGGACUGGGAGAGGUAGGAGGUACUCAGGGGGUAGGAGUGAAAUCCUGUAAUCCUCUGGGGACCACCGGUGGCGAAGGCGUCCUACCAGAACAGGUCCGACGGUGAGGGACGAAAGCUAGGGGCACGAACCGGAUUAGAUACCCGGGUAGUCCUAGCCGUAAACGAUGCCCGCUAGGUGUCACGGCAGUCGUGAACUGCCGUGGUGCCGUAGGGAAGCCGUGAAGCGGGCCACUUGGGAAGUACGACCGCAAGGUUGAAACUUUAAGGAAUUGGCGGGGGAGCAC
rnacentral:rRNA from 1 species